rnacentral:rRNA from 1 species
UACGUAGGGUGCAAGCGUUUGUCCGGAAUUAUUGGGCGUAAAGAGCUCGUAGGCGGUCUGUCGCGUCGGCUGUGAAAUCCCGAGGCUCAACCUCGGGUCUGCAGUCGAUACGGGCAAACUAGAGUAUUGCAGGGGAGACUGGAAUUCCUGGUGUAGCGGUGAAAUGCGUAGAUAUCUGGAGGAACACCGGUGGCGAAGGCGGCAUCCUGGACCGAGAUUGACGCUGAACAGCGAAAGCUAGGGGAGCAAACGGG